rnacentral:tRNA from 1 species
UGGCUUAGUGGUAGAGUGCUUGCCUGGCAUGCAUGAGGCCCUGGGUUCGAUUCCUCAG